GCGUGAGUGAUGACGGCCUUAGGGUUGUAAAGCUCUUUUACCUGGGAAGAUAAUGACGGUACCAGGAGAAUAAGCCCCGGCUAACUUCGUGCCAGCAGCCGCGGUAAUACGAAGGGGGCUAGCGUUGUUCGGAUUUACUGGGCGUAAAGGGCGCGUAGGCGGGCGAAUAAGUCAGGGGUGAAAUCCCAAGGCUCAACCUUGGAACUGCCUUUGAUACUGUUUGUCUUGAGUUCGAGAGAGGUAAGUGGAACUGCGAGUGUAGAGGUGAAAUUCGU
rnacentral:rRNA from 1 species